rnacentral:rRNA from 1 species
GGAGUCACGCCAGAAAUCUUACCCGGAGAGACAGCAGAAUGAAGGUCAAGCUGAAGACUUUACCAGACAAGCUGAGAGGUGGUGCAUGGCCGUCGCCAGCUCGUGCCGUGAGAUGUCCUGUUAAGUCAGGUAACGAGCGAGAUCCCUGCCACUAGUUGCUAUCAUUAUUCUCAGGAAUAGUGGGGCGAAUUAGUGGGACUGCCGUUGUUAAAACGGAGGAAGGAAGGGGCUACGGCAGGUCAGUAUGCCCCGAAACUCUGGGGCCACACGCGGGCUGCAAUGGAAGCGACAAUGAGCUCCAAACUCGAAAGAGAGUGGCAAUCUCUAAACGCUACCACAGUUAUGACUGAGGGCUGUAACUCGCCCUCACGAAUAUGGAAUCCCUAGUAACCGCGUGUCAUUACCGCGCGGUGAAUACGUCCCUGCUCCUUGCACACACCGCCCGUCGUUUCAUCGAAAUUUGCUUUUAGCGAGGUGAUGUUUAAUUGACAUUAUCGAACUUGAGGUAAGUGACGAGGGAAAAGUCGUAACAAGGUGACCGUAGGGGAACCUGCGGUCGGAUCA